UCCAGAGGUCCCAAGCGUUGUUCGGAUUCACUGGGCGUAAAGGGUGCGUAGGUGGUGAGGUAAGUCGUAUGUGAAAUCUCCGGGCUCAACCCGGAAAUGGCAUUGGAAACUACCUUGCUUGAGGGUUUGAGGGGGGAUUGGAAUACUUGGUGUAGCAGUGAAAUGCGUAGAUAUCAAGUGGAACACCAGUGGCGAAGGCGAAUCCCUGGAAAAUACCUGACACUGAGGCACGAAAGCUAGGGGAGCAAACAGG
rnacentral:rRNA from 1 species